rnacentral:rRNA from 1 species
UACAGAGGGGGCAAGCGUUUAUUCGGAAUUAUUGGGCGUAAAGGGCGCGUAGGCGGCUUGGCAAGUGGAUGGUGAAAUCCCUCGGCUUAACUGAGGAACUGCCGUCCAAACUGCUUUGCUUGAGACCGGGAGAGGUGAGUGGAAUUCCCAGUGUAGCGGUGAAAUGCGUAGAUAUUGGGAGGAACACCAGUGGCGAAGGCGGCUCACUGGACCGGCAUUGACGCUAAAGCGCGAAAGCCAGGGGAGCAAACGGG